UACGGAGGGUGCAAGCGUUAUCCGGAUUUACUGGGUUUAAAGGGUGUGUAGGCGGGCUUGUAAGUCAGUGGUGAAAUCUCCGGGCUUAACCCGGAAACUGCCGUUGAUACUAUUAGUCUUGAAUUUUGUUGAGGUAGGCGGAAUAUGUCAUGUAGCGGUGAAAUGCAUAGAUAUGACUUAGAACACCAAUAGCGAAGGCAGCUUGCUACACAAAUAUUGACGCUGAGGCACGAAAGCGUGGGGAUCAAACAGG
rnacentral:rRNA from 1 species